UACGGGGGGGGCAAGCGUUGUUCGGAAUUACUGGGCGUAAAGGGCUCGUAGGCGGCCAACUAAGUCAGACGUGAAAUCCCUCAGCCUAACUGGGGAACUGCGUCUGAUACUGGAUGGCUUGAGAUUGGGAGAGGGAUGCGGAAUUCCAGGUGUAGCGGUGAAAUGCGUAGAUAUCUGGAGGAACACCGGUGGCGAAGGCGGCAUCCUGGACCAACACUGACGCUGAGGAGCGAAAGCCAGGGGAGCAAACGGG
rnacentral:rRNA from 1 species